rnacentral:rRNA from 1 species
GAUCAUGGCUCAGGGUGAACGCUAGCUACAGGCUUAACACAUGCAAGUCGAGGGGAAACGACAUCGAAAGCUUGCUUUUGAUGGGCGUCGACCGGCGCACGGGUGAGUAACGCGUAUCCAACCUGCCCAUCACUUGGGAAUAACCUUUCGAAAGAAAGAUUAAUACCGGAUAGUAUAACGAGAAGGCAUCUUUUUGUUAUUAAAGAAUUUCGAUAACCGAUGGGGAUGCGUUCCAUUAGUUUGUUGGCGGGGUAACGGCCC